UGGCCUGGGAACCUCCAUAUGCCAAGGGAGUGGCCCUAGAAAAGGCAAAAAGACAAACAAACAAACAAAAAAACCUAGGUACUAAAAUACCGAUGAUAGCUAUAGCUAUAGCUAAUAAUACUGUAUUACAUAUUUGAAAGUGGCCAAGAGUAAAUCUUAAAAGUCUUCAUCACAAGAAAAAAAAAAAGAAAAAAUAUUUAAUUAUUUAUGGUAACAAAUAGUAACUAGGCUUAUUAUGGUGAUAAUUUCCCAAUGUAUACAAAUAUUGAAUCAUUAUGUUGUACUCCUGAAAAUAAUAUGUUAUAUGUUAAUUAUAUCUCAACAAAAAAUAAUCGACAAGAAAGAAAGAAGGAAAAAGGAAAAAAAGGAAAGAAGGAAAGAGAAAGAAGAAAGAAACGAACAUAGGUACUGCUUGAGACUAGGCGUUACAAGAGUUCUCAGGUAAAAACACUUUUUUCUCAAAAUUUUGAAAGUAUUGCUCUUGUCUAAGCUUUUGAUUUUGUUGAAAAUUUCAGUGCUUUCUUAUUCUUUAUCCUUUUAUUAUGAUUUUUUUUCCUUUUGGAAGUUAAAAAAAUCUUUAUCCAGAGUGUUCUGAAAUUUCACAAAUAUGUGCCUUGUUUUGGGUCUUUUUUUUUCCUCAUUCACUAGGUGAGCCGUUUUAAUCAAUAUCCCUCUGUUCUGAAAUUUUUUAUUAUAUUGUUUCUUUGAUAAUUACCUCCUCUCUUUUCUUUCUUUUUAGAACUCUUACUAUUUGGAUAUAGAGACUCUUGGAUUGAUCAACUAAUUUUCCUAUCUUUUCUCUCUUAUCUUUCAUCUCUGACUUAUCCUACUUUCUCAGAGAUGUCUUUAAAUUUAUCUCCCACUUCGUUGUUUUAAUCUCAGCUAUCCUAUUUGAAAUUUCCAAGCACUUUUUUUUAUUGUUAUUUUUUGAAUGUUUCUUGUUUCUAUUGCAUUCUGGGUUUUUUGUUUUAUUUUUUUACUUUUAUGGAUAGACUACCUUCUCUUACCCCUAUGGAGUAUAAUUAUGGUCUUUCUUCUUAGAAUUUUACUUCUACUUCCUAGAUUAUUUGUUUCCUCUGGUUUCUUUUCUAUUUACUUUGAUCUCUCUUUAAACAUUGAAGGCUUGACUAUUAGUCUUUAUGCGUGAAGCACUACAACACAGAUUGUAAGCUGUUGUCUUCUGGACUUGUGGGCCUCACCAUAGGAAGACCAAAUUGAAUUUUUUUCAUUGGAAUGAGCCUCAAAUGUCAUAAUAAUACCGUAUCUUACCUAGAGUUUCCGAAUCACUUUCAUUACUUGCAAUACCAAGCGAAGCCCCAUAAGAGCCAUGGAUGGUGGAACUCAUAUUAACGUUAGAGAAAACCAUGUUUUCAAAACCAUCUAAGUGACAGAUUUGUGACAGCCAGUGGUAUACAGCAAGCUGUUAUAUUGUGAGCUGAUCUAUGUAGGCCCACAUGGCAGGGAACUGAGGCCCUCGGUCCAACAGCUUGCAAGGAACUGAAUUCUGCCAACAACGAUGUGAGCUUGGAAGCAGAUCCUUUCUUUGUCCAACCUUGAGAUGGGACCUUAGCACGGACCAGUACUUUGUGAGACACCCUGAAGCAGAGGAUCAACUAAGCCACAUGCAAACUUCUGACCUACAUAAAUCACAAGAUAAUAAAUGUGUGUUAAGUCACCUGUGUAAUUUGUUAUACAGCAAUUAAUAACUAACAUAAUGUUUGUUGGAGUGUUGUCCUACAGGAUGUAAUGUUAGAGAGUUCCCAUUAUGGCUCAGAGGGUUAAGGACCUGAAGUAGUCUUAUAAGGAUGUGGGUUCAAUCCCUGGCUUUGAUCAGUGGGUUAAGGAUCUGGUGUUGCUCUGGCUGUGGCAUAGGCUGGCAGCUGCAGCUCUGAUUCAGUCCUUAGCCUGGGAUUUUGUAUAGGCCGAGGGCAAGGCUGUAAAAGGGAAAAAAAAAAAAAAAAAAAAAGAAUGUGAUGUGGAAUUGUAGUAUUAGAAAUGUAAUGAGUUUUGGAGUUGUCAUGUUGGCUCAGUGGUAAUGAACCCGACUAGGAACCAUGAAAAUGUGGGUUCUAUCCCCGGCCUCGC